rnacentral:rRNA from 1 species
GGGCCCGCACAAGCGGAGGAACAUGUGGUUUAAUUCGAUGAUACGCGAGGAACCUUACCCGGGCUUGAAUUGCAGAGGAAAGAUCCAGAGAUGGUGAUGCCCUUCGGGGCCUCUGUGAAGGUGCUGCAUGGUUGUCGUCAGCUCGUGCCGUGAGGUGUCGGCUUAAGUGCCAUAACGAGCGCAACCCCUUUCCUUAGUUGCCAUCAGGUUAAGCUGGGCACUCUGGGGAUACUGCCACCGUAAGGUGUGAGGAAGGUGGGGAUGACGUCAAAUCAGCACGGCCCUUACGUCCGGGGCUACACACGUGUUACAAUGGCCGGUACAGAGAGACGGUCGUCUGCAAAGACGAUCCAAUCCUUAAAGCCGGUCCCAGUUCGGACUGGGGUCUGCAACCCGACCCCACGAAGCUGGAUUCGCUAGUAAUCGCGCAUCAGCCAUGGCGCGGUGAAUACGUUCCCGGGCCUU